UAAUGGUGGAGGGCUGAGCAUCCAGUA
rnacentral:piRNA from 1 species